ACACAGCUCACCCACUGUAGGCAUGAGCAGAUCUAAAGCAUGUACCAAUGAAGGAUCUUCACGUGAUUGCUUCAUGUAGAAGGGUUUUUGAUUCGCCGGCCAAUCCACCACAAAUACUGGACUUUUACAGUGUUCCACCAGCCAAAGCCUCUUUAUAGCUGAGUACAGGCCAUGAUUGAUCUAGCCAAUGGAAUGUCACUGCUUCACCCAAAUUCUUUUUCUGGCAAAACUCCACAUCUUGGGCAUUAUUGUCAAGCAAUUGUUUUGUUGUUACCUUGAGCAUUCGCUCUAUAAAUGAACAGAGUUGCUGUAUGUGCUCCAGGUAGACUAGCUCAGCUUCAAACAUAUAAAAUUCGGAUAAAUGCAGGGGAGAUUUACAAUUUUCCGCUCUAAAAGCAGGACCCAAACACAUAAACAGAUUCAUGCACCACCAUAUUUCCCUUAAUAUCGCUUAAUUUCUGACAACCUGCCAAGGCCAUUGUGAUAUCAAAAUCCUUUUUAAGCACUUCCAACAUAUUU